rnacentral:rRNA from 1 species
UACGUAGGGUGCGAGCGUUGUCCGGAAUUAUUGGGCGUAAAGGGCUCGUAGGCGGUUUGUCGCGUCGGGAGUGAAAACCAUGGGCUUAACUCAUGGCUUGCCUUCCGAUACGGGCAGACUAGAGGUAUGCAGGGGAGAACGGAAUUCCUGGUGUAGCGGUGAAAUGCGCAGAUAUCAGGAGGAACACCGGUGGCGAAGGCGGUCUCUGGGCAUUACCUGACGCUGAGGAGCGAAAGUGUGGGGAGCGAACAGG